UACGUAGGGUCCGAGCGUUGUCCGGAAUUAUUGGGCGUAAAGAGCUCGUAGGCGGUUUGUUGCGUCGGCUGUGAAAUCCCGAGGCUCAACCUCGGGUCUGCAGUCGAUACGAGCAAACUAGAGUGUUGCAGGGGAGACUGGAAUUCCUGGUGUAGCGGUGAAAUGCGCAGAUAUCAGGAGGAACACCGGUGGCGAAGGCGGGUCUCUGGGCAACAACUGACGCUGAGGAGCGAAAGCGUGGGGAGCAAACAGG
rnacentral:rRNA from 1 species